GGUGAGUAACACGUGGGCAAUCUGCCCUUCACUCUGGGACAAGCCCUGGAAACGGGGUCUAAUACCGGAUACGACUACCGACCGCAUGGUCUGGUGGUGGAAAGCUCCGGCGGUGAAGGAUGAGCCCGCGGCCUAUCAGCUUGUUGGUGGGGUGAUGGCCUACCAAGGCGACGACGGGUAGCCGGCCUGAGAGGGCGACCGGCCACACUGGGACUGAGACACGGCCCAGACUCCUACGGGAGGCAGCAGUGGGGAAUAUUGCACAAUGGGCGAAAGCCUGAUGCAGCGACGCCGCGUGAGGGAUGACGGCCUUCGGGUUGUAAACCUCUUUCAGCAGGGAAGAAGCGAGAGUGACGGUACCUGCAGAAGAAGCGCCGGCUAACUACGUGCCAGCAGCCGCGGUAAUACGUAGGGCGCAAGCGUUGUCCGGAAUUAUUGGGCGUAAAGAGCUCGUAGGCGGCUUGUCACGUCGGAUGUGAAAGCCCGGGGCUUAACCCCGGGUCUGCAUUCGAUACGGGCAGGCUAGAGUUCGGUAGGGGAGAUCGGAAUUCCUGGUGUAGCGGUGAAAUGCGCAGAUAUCAGGAGGAACACCGGUGGCGAAGGCGGAUCUCUGGGCCGAUACUGACGCUGAGGAGCGAAAGCGUGGGGAGCGAACAGGAUUAGAUACCCUGGUAGUCCACGCCGUAAACGUUGGGAACUAGGUGUGGGCGACAUUCCACGUCGUCCGUGCCG
rnacentral:rRNA from 1 species